rnacentral:rRNA from 1 species
CAAUAGCGUAUAUUAAAGUUGUUGCGGUUAAAAAAGCUCGUAGUUGGAUUUCUGCCGAGGACGACCGGUCUGCCGAUGGGUAUGCACUGUUUGGCGCGGCCUUCUUUCCGGAGACCGCGGCUACUCUUAACUGAGCGGGCGUGGGAGACGGAUCGUUUACUUUGAAAAAUCAGAGUGUUUCAAGCAGGCAGCUCGCUCUUGCAUGGAUUAGCAUGGGAUAAUGAAAUAGGACUUUGGUGCUAUUUUGUUGGUUUCGAACACCGAAGUAAUGAUGAGCAGGGACAGUCAGGGGCACUCGUAUUCCGCCGAGAGAGGUGAAAUUCUCAGACCAGCGGAAGACGAACUACUGCGAAAGCAUUUGCCAGGGAUGUUUUCACUGAUCAAGAACGAAAGUUAGGGGAUCGAAGAUGAUUAGAU